rnacentral:rRNA from 1 species
AGGGUUUGAUCCUGGCUCAGGAUGAACGCUAGCGGCAGGCUUAACACAUGCAAGUCGAGGGGUAACAGGGAUUAGGUUCUACUUGCUGACGACCGGCGCACGGGUGCGUAACGCGUAUCCUUUUACAGAGAGAUAGCCUUUAGAAAUGAAGAUUAAUACCUCAUAGUAUGAUAAUAAGGCAUCUUAUUAUUAUUAAAGCUUCGGCGGUAAAAGAUGAGUAUGCGUUCUAUUAGCUAGAUGGUGUGGUAACGGCACACCAUGGCAACGAUAGAUAGGGGCCCUGAGAGGGGGAUCCCCCACACUGGUACUGAGACACGGACCAUACUCCUACGGGAGGCAGCAGUGAGGAAGAUUGCACAAUGGAGGCAACUCUGAUCCAGCCAUGCCGCGUGCAGGAAGACUGCCCUAUGGGUUGUAAACUGCUUUUAUACAGGAAGAAACACUCCCUCGUGAGGGAGCUUGACGGUACUGUAAGAAUAAGGAUCGGCUAACUCCGUGCCAGCAGCCGCGGUAAUACGGAGGAUCCAAGCGUUAUCCGGAAUCAUUGGGUUUAAAGGGUCCGUAGGUGGAUAAUUAAGUCAGGGGUGAAAGUCUGCAGCUCAACUGUAGAAUUGCCUCUGAUACUGGUUAUCUUGAGUUAUGUUGAAGUUGGCGGAAUACGACAUGUAGCGGUGAAAUGCAUAGAUAUGUCGUAGAACACCUAUUGCGAAGGCAGCUAACUAAGCUAGUACUGACGCUGAGGCACGAAAGCGUGGGGAGCGAACAGGAUUAGAUACCCUGGUAGUCCACGCCGUAAACGAUGAUUACUCGGUGUUGGCGAUAUAAUGUCAGUACCCAAGCGAAAGUGAUAAGUAAUCCACCUGGGGAGUACGAUCGCAAGGUUGAAACUCAAAGGAAUUGACGGGGGCCCGCACAAGCGGUGGAGCAUGUGGUUUAAUUCGAUGAUACGCGAGGAACCUUACCUGGGCUUAAAUGCAUAAUGACAGGUCUAGAAAUAGACGACUUUCUUCGGACAGAAUGCAAGGUGCUGCAUGGCUGUCGUCAGCUCGUGCUGUGAGGUGUCGGGUUAAGUCCCAUAACGAGCGCAACCCCUAUCUUUAGUUGCCAGCGAGUAAUGUCGGGGACUCUAAAGAAACUGCCGGCGUAAGCCGAGAGGAAGGUGGGGACGACGUCAAGUCAUCACGGCCCUUACGUCCUGGGCCACACACGUGCUACAAUGGUUGAGACAAAGGGCAGCUACAUAGUGAUAGGAUGCGAAAGCCAAAAACUCGUCUCAGUUCGGAUUGAAGUCUGCAACUCGACUUCAUGAAGCUGGAAUCGCUAGUAAUCGCGCAUCAGCCAUGGCGCGGUGAAUACGUUCCCGGGCCUUGUACACACCGCCCGUCAAGCCAUGGAAGCUGGGAGCACCUGAAGUCGGUAACCGUAAGGAGCCGCCUAGGGUGAAACUGGUAACUGGUGUUAAGUCGUAACAAGGUAACCGU